rnacentral:misc_RNA from 1 species
UUGACAGAAUAUUGGGUGCUCGUAUGGGUGCUGAAGCAGUAUUAGCGUUGAUGGAUGCCACCCCAGAUACGCCAGCAUGUGUGAUAUCUCUAGACGGAAAUGAAGCUGUCAGAGUUCCUUUGAUGCAGUGUGUGGAAAGGACAAAAAAUGUACAGAAUGCUAUGAAUGAAAGAAAUUUUGAGGAGGCCGUCAAACUAAGGGGAAAGAGUUUCCAAAACAAUUUAGCUACAUACAGACUUCUAAGUAAAUUGCAGCCUCCAAAGAAAACAGCAGAUGAAAGUUCUGUUGGCAAACGUUUUGCUAUUAUGAACAUUGGGGCACCUGCCUGUGGUAUGAAUGCAGUCGUGCGUUCAUUUGUGCGUCUUUCACUUGCCCAAGGAUACACUGUACUAGGUAUUCAUGACAGCUUUGACGGACUACUUUAUGGAAGAAACUUGGCAAAAGACAACAGUAAGAGGAGAAAAAGUACACUAGAAAUAUUUAAGGAGGUAAAGCCUAUGAGCUGGACAGAAGUGCAAGGAUGGUCAGGUCGCGGUGGCUCUCUUCUCGGAACAAGAAAAGUAUUAGCCAGUAAAUAUGGUAUUGAAAAGAUCGCCAAGAAGAUGAAGGAGUACGAGAUAAGUGGUCUUGUUAUCGUUGGAGGCUUUGAGGCAUAUCACAGUGCGUUGCAGCUGACAGAAGCAAGGAAAGAUUAUGAUUCAUUCUGUAUACCUAUAAUAGUUAUACCAUGUACUAUUAGUAACAACGUUCCUGGUUCUGACUUCAGUCUUGGUGCUGACACAGCAUUAAAUGAAAUUACAGAUAUAUGUGAUAGAAUCAAACAAAGUGCCACAGGUACAAAGCGUAGAAUAUUUGUUGUGGAGACAAUGGGAGGAUACUGUGGUUACCUAGCAACAAUGAGUGGACUUGCCGGUGGAGCAGAUGCUGCUUAUAUCUUUGAAGACAAGUUCUCAAUCACUGAUUUAAGAGAUGAUGUCUUUCAUUUAAAGAACAAAAUACUCAAUGCAGGUGUACAGCGAGGUUUGGUAUUAAGAAAUGAAUAUGCUAACCCUCACUACACAACUGACUUUAUAGAGCAAUUGUUCAGUGAAGAAGGAAAAGGGGUGUUUACUUGCCGCAAGAAUGUAUUAGGUCACAUGCAGCAGGGUGGGGUACCAAGCGUGUUUGACAGAAACUAUGGUACCAAGCUGGCAGCUAAGGCCGUUGCAUGGAUGGCACAGCAAGUGAAAGAAUACACACAAGAAGAUGGUAAGAUAUUUACAAACCAUCCAUCAACUUCAACAUUACUGGGUAUGCGGAGACGUCACAUGGAGUUCACACCACUUCAAGAACUGGCUGAGGGAACAGACUUUGAACACCGUCUGCCAGAGGACCAGUGGUGGUUGAAGCUCCGCCCACUUCUGAGAAUUCUUGCCAAGCAUACAGAGAUGGACUAUAUUGCCGAGACUUUACCCGAGGGAGUAGUAGAUCUGGAGGAGUUAGAAUUCUGAGUACUGAGUGCGGCCUGGUUGAUUUGAAAAGAUAGAUAAAUCUUAUUGGUUGAUUUGAAAAAAGAUAUUAAUCUGACUGGACGAUGAGCACUAUUCAUGAUGUAAACGAUUAUACAAAGUUUUUCCCUGUCCAUUUGACCUUCACAACUCGAAGUCAUAUUAAUGUGCGUUUUGUCAGUUAAAACAUCAUAAUAAUUAGAAAGGAAAAAUAUUUCUAUUGUGAAAUGGCAUUUAGACAUAUCUUUAUAGAACGUUACAAGCAGUUUUGUUUUCUUGGAUGUAUGUUAAGCUGUGUCAUGUAUUUUUCCAUAUUUAUUUAUUUGUCAGCUGAAGGACAUUUGUGCUUAUUUUGCUUUAUCAUUGUGAUAAUGGACAGCUUGCAACUGCAGAUAGGAACAAAAACAUGGACUAUAAUCUGUAGAUGUAAAACCGUUAGUGGAGAGUUUUUAUAGUAUUGCAAAUAACAUCUAAAGGUCUUUCAUGUGUAUAAAUUAAGGUAAAAGCGAUGGCUUUUAUGUAGGAGUUUACACGUUGUUCUUGUUAGAUAGCAGUUAUCAACUAGAAAUAGAGAAGCUUGUGAACACCAGAUUUUUAUUCAUUCAGUGUAGCUUGCUUGAGUAUCCAUGGCUGGAGCACCCAGGCAGUUCAUGUGGUGCAGGUCGUCUCCCUUAUAUUUUUUAUUUUUGUAUCGCUUGGAACCCUAGACAUCUCAGUCCCCUAGCUACCUUGAGCAGUCCGUGUUUUCCUGUUUGUUUUUUCUUCCAGAAUAAUAUCUUAUGAAAUUCUGCACCUGCAUGGUGUUCACUCUAUGAAAGAUAUUUCAAUGUUACAUUGAAACAAAUAUUCUAUCCUAGAUCUGUAUUGUAAGUACCUCUAGGUUUUUUUGUUAAUAGACAAAACCAUUCAUUGUUUAAUGUACUUCAUCAAUAUGUUUUGUAGAAUGCUUUUAUUUUAUGUUGAGACAGUUAUAUUUUAUUGCUACAUGAUUGUAAUGGAGCACCAAUACUUGAUAUACAGUAAGAUAUUAUAUAACUCCUUGUUUUUCAGUAUUUUACACUAAAAUCAGUAUAUAAAACUGUUGAGACAUAUAUACCUUAAGUAUAGACAGUAAAAGAACAAAAGGGAAUGUAUGUCUUGUAUCUUGUUAUAGUCUUGUUGUAUAUUUUGGUACUGUAUGUUUUGUUAUGUAAUAAUGUGAUUUCUAGUUUUACAGAUUAUUUUCCUGUCAUGUUUAGCUUGUUUUACAUUGCUGGUCUACCAUACUUGUCUUAAACAGUGCUUAGGGAAGCACUUCCUAUUAGAUCCAUUUUUUCCCUAACAGGGCUUUUAGUGAAAAGCAACUUUAUUUUACAAGGUCAUGCUAUGAUUUGAGCCGCACCAUGAGAAAACCAACAUAGUGCAUUUGCAACCAGCAUGGAUCCAGACCAGCCUGCGCAGUCGUGUCGGGAUCCAUGUCGUUCGCUUGCAAGGCCUGUUGCAAUUAGAGAAACCGUUAGCAAACAGCAUGGAUCCUGACCUGACUGCGCGGAUGCGCAGGCUGGUCUGGAUCCAGCAAAUGCCCUAUGUUGGUUUUCUCAUGGCAUAGCUCAUUUAUAGAUCAUUCUAAUGGUCUCCAGGGAUGGUAUAGGAUAUAAAUGUUGGUGUUCUGGGCAGAAAUGUAUUUUUCCAAUUGUACAUACGGAACAUAAUCCCAUUUUUCAUUUUUUUUAUAUGGAAAUAUUGCUUUUAUACUAACUAAGAUGUCAAGAAAGUUUUAUAACAAGCCAUUCUACAAAUAAAAUCAAAAUUUACUUUCUUUUAUUUUUGUCAAAAAAUGGCUGAAAAAUUACACUGGAUAUAAAUAAAAAACUAAAAAUUGUUUCACUAUGAUAAAUUAAAAACUUAUCAUGAUGAAUUGAAAAUUUAAAAAGUUCUUAUUAUCAACCUUGGAGUUUGUUAGAAUGAUGUAUAAAAUCCAUGGUAACAUAUUAUAUUUAAAGAGGAAUUGAAGGGAGGGGGAUGUGGACAUUUUUGCACCAUUUUAAGUUAGAAAUUCAACAUGGUCACCUGAGUACUGUAGAAAUUUCUUGCAUCACAAGUGAAUACUAUUGUCUGUAAUGGAGGAUAUUGACAAGGUCAGAGAAUAUAUAUUGUACACAUCACAUAUAUACAACAAUGGCUUCUAAAAAAUGACUGAACAUUUAUAUGUGCACAUAUGAAACUAGUCAAGAUGAAGGUAACUGGUUGAAAUCUUGUAGGGGUCAGGACCUUACCUUUGAAGACACUAGAUUUUGAAUCGGGGUUAUAAAACCAAUUUGAAGACCAGUCUUAGAAUACAGUGCUUCCAAUGGUCAAUUUCAAAAUUGUGUACAGAAACAACCAGUCAGAUGCUGGAGUUUUGAGACUGGAAGCACACUGGAAUGUGACACAAAUAGCUUCCUUCAGAGUCCAGUUAAUCAGUAUGUUAGGCAUAAUAAUGAUUGUUGGUGCAUUAGGGUUAUUGCCCCUCGUUUUUGUUUUACAUUAAAAAUGUAUUGCCUGAUUUUGUUGUGCCAUUAUUGUGUAUGUAAUACAGGUUAGCACCUUUUACUGUUCUUAGAGAUAAAUUACUGAGCAACUUUUGGUCUAGAGAUAGAACAGUCACUGUAUUUUAUUCUUGUUCUAUUUUCAGUGUAAAAAACCAAACAAACUGACAAGGGUACUUUAAUUUUUACAUACAGUUAAUUUUGGUUGCAUGAAUUAUGUUAGGAUUUCUGUAUUGCAAAACCUGAUUUUGUAGUUAUGUUGUUUUUAUCUGUUUUAUAUUUAAGUACAUUACAGCACAGUAAUUUGGAUGUGUUGCUUCCUAGGUGUGUUUUGUUGGUAUUUUUUUUUUCAAGAAUCGACCCGGAAGCCACAUGAAGUGUUGCAUUCAUUUUCAUUAUCUUUAUUGUUUGACAUUAACAACACAUGAGCCAUAUCGUACUGAGACCGUGUCCGUAUCUUGCUUACACUGGGUAUUUUAUUGUAUUUUAUUAUUUUCAUUUAGUUUUCCAUUUUUUGUUUUUUAGGUAUUAUUGAAAUAAAACCUUGCAAAAUCAUA